AGAGUUUGAUCCUGGCUCAGGAUAAACGCUGGCGGCGUGCCUAACACAUGCAAGUCGAACGCUCUCUCAGCAAUGGGAGGGAGUGGCGGACGGGUGAGUAACACAUGGGAAUCGACCCACACGUGAGGAAUACCACCGGGAAACCGGUGACAAUACCGCAUACGCUCGGACAACCGAGCAAAGCUCUUUUUCGGAAGGGCCCGCGGCCGAUUAGCUGGUUGGUGGGGUAAGGGCUCACCAAGGCUGCGAUCGGUAGCUGGUCUGAGAGGACGAUCAGCCACACUGGGAUUGAGAACGGCCCAGACUCCUACGGGGGGCAGCAGUGAGGAAUUUUCCGCAAUGGAGGCAACUCUGACGGAGCAACGCCGCGUGCAGGAAGACGGCCUUCGGGUUGUAAACUGCUUUUCUGUGGGAAGAGUUGGGACGGUACCACAGGAACAAGCCCCGGCUAACUACGUGCCAGCAGCCGCGGUAAUACGUAGGGGGCGAGCGUUGUCCGGAGUUACUGGGCGUAAAGGGCACGCAGGCGGUUGUGUCAGUUUGCGGGGACAGUGGGCGGCUUAACUGCCCAAGGGUCGCAAAGACGGCAUGACUGGAGGGCCAGAGAGGGACCUGGAAUUCCGGGUGGAGCGGUGAAAUGCGUAGAGAUCCGGAGGAACACCACUGGCGAAGGCAAGGUCCUGGCUGGUGCCUGACGCUGAGGUGCGAAAGCUAGGGGAGCGAACGGGAUUAGAUACCCCGGUAGUCCUAGCCGUAAACGAUGACCACUAGAUGUGGGAGGUAUCGACCCCUUCCGUGUCGUAGUUAACAUGCUAAGUGGUCCGCCUGGGGAGUACGGUCGCAAGAUUAAAACUCAAAGGAAUUGACGG
rnacentral:rRNA from 1 species